rnacentral:rRNA from 1 species
CUACGGGUGGCAGCAGUGAGGAAUAUUGCGCAAUGGGCGAAAGCCUGACGCAGCGACGCCGCGUGGAGGAUGAAGGCCUUCGGGUCGUAAACUUCUGUUAAGUGGGAAGAAAGGCUUAUUCUUAAUACGAAUGAGAGAUGACGGUACCAUUAGAGAAAGCACCGGCUAACUUCGUGCCAGCAGCCGCGGUAAUACGAAGGGUGCAAGCGUUAUUCGGAAUCAUUGGGCGUAAAGGGUACGUAGGCUGUACAUUAAGUCAACUGUUAAAUCUUCCGGCCUAACUGGAAGCUUGCGGUAGAAACUGAUGUACUUGAGGGUGAGAGAGAGAAGUGGAAUUCUCGGAGUAGCGGUAAAAUGCGUGGAUCUCGAGAGGAACACCAAUGGCGAAGGCAGCUUCUUGGCUCAUUCCUGACGCUGAGGUACGAAAGCGUGGGGAGCAAACAGGAUUAGAUACCCGCGUAGUC